AGCAGCCUGAAUUUACUAAUUCACCCUAAAGUAACCUUACUCUGUCUUGAAUGACCCUAAACUAAUGUAAUUCACUCCCAUCUUACCUAAAACUACAGUUGAAUUACCCUAAACUUGCCUUAAAAUAAUCCCCUAAACGUAAUUCACUCCAAGGUAACCUGAAUCUGACCUAUCCUGACCUUACCUUAAUAUCCUAACCUUACCUUAACUUAUCCUGACCUUACCCUUAAGUGAGGGUUUCAGGACGGUACAGAAAUAUAUUUACAAUAAAUUCCCAAGUAUUCAACAAGUGCCUCACUAAGCAAAGAGUAGUUGGCGUUUUUUUUUGCCGAAUUUGCUUAUCACUCUCUUGACUGAAAUGGGGGGGAUAUCAUAGUGGACAUAGAGGAGGGCAAGUCCGUUCAGGCGCUCUUGGCCAACGGUACUCCUCAAAUAGGUUUGAAGCCUUUUCAAUGCUGAGAAAGACCUCUCGUUGGAGACUGGAAGCGUCAACAGAGUUUUCAAGAGAAUGGCGAGAUUGGGGAACACGCUGGUGCUGGCGUGUGCCUGGGCUUCUUUGAUAGUUUGGAAGACCAAAACAGAUAAUGCCCAGUGCCUUCACGAGUGUCAGGGAUUCCAUGUCGAGCUCGUAGAGCUUCUCCGCUUGAAGCACAGCUGCAACAUCCGUUUCGAGGCCAUUGAGGAGUUGCUUGAGCUGAUCGAAGUGCGACAGGCACUGUGUAGUCGCCGAACCGACUCUUCAACUCAGCCAAGACGUGGUCCACGAAUGGAAUGUACACCGCCCGGCGGUAGCACUCCUCAGCAUUCUCGCACGGAACAUUUGAUCGCUGGGUCUGUCGUCCACAGAGCCGUGGCACAGGGAUGGUGUCAUGCGAUGACCCCACCUCUACCAAAAGCUCUUCCGCUUUCAUGAACACAUCGUGGAAAUGAUUCUCCACAUCUGCUCUGAACUUGCCAAAAAUGGUCUCGAUGCCACGAAUCGGGCAUAGGCUGACACCAGGUCGCCAUCUUUUCUCUGAAGAGUUCGGCUUGGCUUGAGAGUAUGCGCCAAUGUACACUCCACUACAACCAGUCCAACGAGAAAGCGGGGAACAUGUAUGGCGAUGAGAAGGAGCCCAGCGGUGGCGUCAAGUUCUUCCUUGAGAAAAACAUCAAUGACAGGCAGAAAUUCAACAAAAACCAGCACUGCGUCAUGCCUCUCAAUCCACCUGGUGGGGCACAGGGGAACAAGCUCUUCGCGCUUGGCCGAGGUAAGCUUGACAACCUCUGUGAAGCGGAGACAGUGCAUAUUUGAAGAAUGAAUGAAGUUGCACACCUCGGUCAGUGUUUGAAGAGCGAUCUUCACUUCCUUGACGUCACACGGCUUCGUCAGUACUAGAUUCUGCCGGUGGUCAGAGCAGUGGAUUGGCUUGGCCAGGGUGUACUUCUUCAUGAGUACUGCGGCACACCCUUUGAAUUUUCUCAUCAUGGCACUUGCUCCAUCGAAACCAAGUCCCCUGCACUUGGCCAUGUCCAAUCCGAGGUCUUCAACGGUGCGCAAAAGGAGCCAGGCUAAACCUUUACCGGUGAGGCCUGGCGUGCACAAAGGCAAGGAAGUCUUCCCUUAUUUCCUGAUGAUAGUGGCCUGCACUAAAAUUCACUUUCUGCUUGCAUGUGAGGAAUGAGGUCACCCCAUAUCCGCCCCUGGGUUACGGGUAUGUGGUACGUAAGGUUGGGACCUGUUCGGGUAAGCCACGAGUGCGAAUCUUUGCUUUCUAUCCCCAGAGUAGUCCACUGUAAGUCAGAUUAUACUGCUCACUGUACCAGGAAUUACCUUCUGAAUAAAGCCUUGAACGUAAUGACGACGCACUCUGCUCGUUUGAAAAGCUGUUAUGAAUGUUUGGGACAGGUUACUAUGGUGGCUAGGUCAUUACAUACUCAAAUCAGGACUAGGCUUUGGGAGACAGGUCAGGUCAUUUUGUUGUAGACUUGUGAUACUGGGCUGGACUGCACUGGGUACACCAUCGCACGCUGAAGUUGUUGCGCACAAUUUAUAAUGAUAUUUUUUAGGAGAGACGGGCUUUUUUUCAUUAUUGGUUCUUUUUUUUCUUGAACUGUUUACUGUAAACAAAAAGUAUGUUAAUGUUUAUGUUGUAGUACGCUACCGGGCUCUCAAGGAGGUUUAAGACUGAUUCGUCGUAGCGACAACUGACUUAAUAUUCUGGUACUUCAAGAGUAUUUGAAGGAGCUCGUAGUUGGGGUGAUGAAACGUUGUCGCUUUUUUAUAUUUAAUUUUAACUUAUUUUAACACUUUGAAUAACAAAAUAAUAUAAAAUACAGAAUACACUUCAA